UGGGGAAUAUUGCACAAUGGGCGCAAGCCUGAUGCAGCCAUGCCGCGUGUGUGAAGAAGGCCUUCGGGUUGUAAAGCACUUUCAGCGGGGAGGAAGGCGAUAAGGUUAAUAACCUUGUCGAUUGACGUUACCCGCAGAAGAAGCACCGGCUAACUCCGUGCCAGCAGCCGCGGUAAUACGGAGGGUGCAAGCGUUAAUCGGAAUUACUUGGCGUAAAGCGCACGCAGGCGGUCUGUCAAGUCGGAUGUGAAAUCCCCGGGCUCAACCUGGGAACUGCAUUCGAAACUGGCAGGCUAGAGUCUUGUAGAGGGGGGUAGAAUUCCAGGUGUAGCGGUGAAAUGCGUAGAGAUCUGGAGGAAUACCGGUGGCGAAGGCGGCCCCCUGGACAAAGACUGACGCUCAGGUGCGAAAGCGUGGGGAGCAAACAGG
rnacentral:rRNA from 1 species